rnacentral:lncRNA from 1 species
GCAUUUUUGAUAUAAUAUUUUGAUGAAAUGCUAAUUUGUUUUUUUUUUUCUUCUGAAAUUGCUUGAUUUUGAACUUCGUCAGAAAUUGUGAAUAUUAGAACCCCAGUUUAAGUCUAUGACCCGAACACAUUAGUAUAUGCGUAUAGUUUUGAAAUUAAACUCUGAUACCUUGCAACUUGCAAGGGUGCAAUGAUGCGCACUUUCUGACAUUAUAGUAUGUUAACUUCUGGAGUCUGGACCGCGUCAGUGGUUUAUUGUGACUUCUGGAAUUCUGGACCAUGUCAACAGUUUAUAGUGACCAGCUUAGAUCAAAUAGGUGACUAAAAGUCAUCAUUUUAAACGUUAUAAAUUGCUGAAAUUUAGUGUUUGGUAUUUUGCAUUGCAUUUAUUGGUUGAACACAGGGGUGGCAAUCUCAGACACGACCCGAAACCCGACUCGAACCUGACCCAACCCGAAACCCGAUUUACUGAGACAGAAACCCGAAAGUGACCCGAAAAUCACCCGAUUGACCCGAAAUAGACCCGAAAUGACCCGAAAUUAGAAUUUUAUUUCUAAUAACUUCAAUUUUCAGUUUUAUUCAAUUUUAAGUGAUUUUAACUUAACCCGAAAUCGACCCGAUUGCUGACACGAACACGAUCAUUUGAAAGAUCAUCUUUGAUUCAGAUUGUAACACAAAUUUCUAUUACCAAAAUCACAAUCUGAUAGUGAUUUUGGUAAUAGAAAUUUGUGUUACAAUCUGAAUCAAAGAUGAUCCUUCAAAUGGAUAUCUUAUUUUAAUAUGUGUUCUACUUAUGAAUGAUACAUUAUUCAAACUAGGAAGAAUCCUUCAAACAGAUUUUGUUUAAACUAUUCUUCCGGAUCAUGAAUGAUCCUCAGAUUAAAUUCUUGUUAACUAUUCAUAUAAAUCCUGAAUAAUAAGCUGCAUCUUGUAUAUGUAUAUAUUGAUAGUGACAGAGGGCUCACUUCUAAAUAUCUUAUCUAUAUAUGCUCCGAUGCUCUAUAGAAGUAGGAAAAGAGAGUACUCUGCACUAGUGUUUAAGAGAUUCCAGAGAAUGAAGAGAGAAACUCCGAAAAGAAAGGCUAUCACUUGUACCACCGACAUACUGAUUCGGUCAGAGAGUCCUCCCAUCCCCGCUUGUCUGGCUGCCGAUGAGCUCACUCGACUUCUAACUAGGUCUGUCAUUUUUACACAUCCAACCCUAUUUUAUAAUAAGUAUUGUAUUUUGGGAAAAUUAAUUCAUUUGUUCCUGAACUGUAGGUCGUUAAUGGUUUAGGUCCCUAAACUAAAAACCCAAUUUUUUUUUUUGCCACAACUAAAAACCCAAUUUUUGAUACCUAAAUGUUUAAAAAAUCUGAUUCAAGUCCUUCCGUCAAAAUUUGACUAACGCUUGUUAGUCAUUGCUGACAUGGAAAUUGGAAAAAUAAAAGAAAAAAAAAUUAAAAUACGAGAAAUCAAAACUUCAAGGACUGAAGUGAAAUCUUGAUAUGUUAAUGUACUAGUGAUUUUAAAAAUACGGGUGGUGAAAGUUUUAGAUUUCGAGUUUACUAACAUAUAGAAAUAUCACUUUAAUCUCAAGAUCACGAAGAUAAAAACUUAUUAAAAUGCAGUUUUUUGUAUGCUGGUGAACUCUAAUCAGGAAUUUUCACUAUCCUUGUUCUUGAAAUGACUCAUAAAUGAACAUAUCAAAAUUUUAUUUCAUUCCAUGAAGUUGUGAUUUUUGUGUUUUCAAUUAUUAUUUUCUUUUGUUUUUUCAAUUUCUAUGUCAGUAUUAAGUAACGGCCGUUAGUCAAAUUUUGGCGGAGGGACUUGAAUCAGUUUUUUGGAAAGUUUAGAUAUCGAAGUUGGGUUUUUUUAGUUUAGGGACCUAAACCAUAAACGGCCUAUAGGAAUGAAUUAAUUUUCCUGUGUAUUUUCAGCUGAUAUAAGAUUACAUGUGUAUAUUUAUUGUGUGUGUGUAUAUAUAUGUGUGUACUUUAUGUAAUGGUCGUCUGAUGGAAUAAGCGAGGUGUACUUUGGAAGAAAAAUCACAGAAGUUCAGAGCUUGACAAAGAGGUUUGACAUCUCUCUCCACUGUCCUCCAAUGUGUAUUCUCUUUUAAAUUGGAGUCAUUUUGACAAAUAAAUGGUUUUCUUUAAAACAAAAAAAUACUAACAAUAUUUAUGCAUGUAAAUUGUAAAUGUAAUAGAGUCUAGUCAAUUUUGUAAAUGAAUACAAAUUCAGAAAGUAGUUUUAGGUUUUUGAGUUAUAUAAAUAUUCUAUUAUUAUUUAUUGUUUGGGAAAAUUAAUUUAUUAGUCCAUGACCUAUAUGUCGUUUAUGGUUUAGGACUCUGAACUAAAUAAGACCAAAUUUUUUUAUACCUAAACUUUUAGAAAAUCCGAUUCAGGUCCCUUUAUUAAAAUUUGACUAACUGCAGUUGUUCAAUGCUGACGUGGAAAUUGAAAAAAUAAAAGAAAAAAAUAAUUAAAAAUACCAAAAAUCAAAACUUCAGAGAUUGAAAUGAAAUUUUGAUAUGUUAUUCUACAAGUGAUUUCAAAACAAUGGUUGGUGAAAGUUUUUGAUUUCGAGUUCACUAACAUAUAGAAAUAUGCACUUUAAUCUCGAGAACACGUAGUUAUCAAGGCUUAUUAAUCUCAAUGAGGGGAGGAAGAGAAAUAAAGUCACUCAUUCUUCUAGCCCCUAUUUCUAUCACUCCAUUUUCAUGUCAUAUUGUCCACAGAUCCGGACCUUAUUCAAGAAUUCUGCAUACCAGACACCACAUCAAAUGUCACCCAAACAACAAGGUCUGGUAUGAUCCCAUGCGAAAAUCUGGUAGAUGUUAUCCCCGAAGAUUUUAUCUUCUCAGGUAUAGAACAUCCUGGAAAUUUAUCAGGCACUGGACUAUCAGCAAUAUCCGUGAGUCCACAAACUUUUCCAGGCCUCAACACCCAAGGCAUGUCUUUGUUGCGUGCUGAUCACCAUAAAGCCCCAAACUGAUAGGUGGGUAUUCCCCGAUACUGGUGAAGGCAUCAUUAUCCUGGCUGAAGGACGUUUGAUGAACUUGGGUUCUGCAACUGGUCACUCCAGUUUCGUGAUGUCUUGCUCUUUCGCUAACCAAGUGAUUUCUCAGCUAGAGUUGUGGAAUGAGAAGAGCUCCGGAAAGUAUGAUUAGAAGGUCCAUGUCUUACCCAAUCACCUCGAUGAGAAGGUUGCUGCACUCCAUCUUGAAAAGCUCGGUGCAAAGCCUACAAAGCUCUCCAAGGACCAAGCUGACUACAUCAGUGUUCAAGUUGAGGGUCUUCAAGAGUUAAAUAAUGUGAAAAACCUCUCUAUCAUUCUGCCUGUAUGCUUUCAUUUUGAAUAUGGACUCAUUGAUGUGGUGGAAGCAAAAUCUGCAAUGCCAGCUAACAUCUGUCAAGAUGUCAUCAAUCUGGCGAUGAUGUGCAGAUCUUAUCUUUCCCAUCUAAUAUGUAUGUACCAGUGUUAUGAUUGUGAGUACAUAUGUAUCUAUAUAAAAAGGAGAAGAGCUGGUAGGACGAAUGAAGGAAAAGGUAAAGAUAGAAAUACCCUUAACCACACAGAUGGCGCUAGACCCAUUUGAUGGAAACACGCUGAAUGUAAGUAAACUAAAAGUCUAGUAUAUCACAUGAUAUUUUAUAAAUUGGAGUAUCUCAAGUAGUCUGACACACAAAGUGCACUUUACUCUUAUAUAUAUAUAUUCAUAGAUAUUUGCGGUUUUCUUAUUGAACUUUGAUUCUAUUCCAUGGAACCUUAAAAUUUUAGGUAGGUUGAUCAAUCACCAUUGUAUCAUAAACCAAUAUAAUGUUCUUUUAAUAUUGAUACUUAGAGAAGGCUGUGGAAAUCAUUUUAGAUUACAUGUUUUUCACAUUAGUUGAAAUUCAGUACAUGCUGGCACAAAACUACAUCUUCACACAUCUUUCACAUUUAGGAAGUUUUUAUAUACCGGUUCUUGUUAUUCAACUUUCGUUAAAGGUAACAAAUAGGUCACUUGUGAGGAACAUUAUUAUAAAAUUAUUAAGCUUUAAGGAACAGUAUUGCAAAAGCUGAAACUCUAGGUGAACAAAUAAUGUUGUAGAACUUAAUUUUGGAGGGACACUUCUCUUAUCUACCUUACUAGAUUACUUAAGGGUUAAAUAUCAAAGUGGUCACUCAAGUGGAGGUCAUAUAUCACUUUGCUUACUAAUCUUAACGGGGUCUCAUUUANAUAUCUAAUCCGGUGUUGUUCGCUAUCAAUGGAUUGGGAUGUUUUAGUGCGGCAUAUAUUAGAUGCCAAAACGACGAACCAACUCAGGUUUUAAACCAAUCAAUCUUUCUUAUUUCGCCUCAUCGUUUUUAAUUAUGUUUUUAUCUUUAUGUAUGUGUUGUAGUGUUGUUAAUUGUUUUAAUACAUUUUCGUCAUUUACAUUCUAAUUGGAGUGCUGUGUGUUCAAAAUUUUAUACACUCCAUCAAGCUGUGACCAAGCUUCUAAUCGAGUGCCGUAGGAUAGUAUCAAUCACAAUAAAUUUAUUUUAUAACCUUAACAUCGAUUUCUCCCUUAAGUAUUUAUGAUCCAAAUCAUGAAUGAUCCUCCGUAUGUUACAGAUUUUGUGGAUCAUUGAUAACCGGAAGUUUUAGAUAAUGAAUUAGAGACUCAGAGUUAAGUAAAACAUGAAAUUUAUACCUGAAAAGUCCAUGGGAUCAGGAAAUUUUUUGAAUGUGAAAAGAAUUAUUUUGGAAUUUGAGUUUGUUUAUAAAUUAUUACAUCUCAUUAUAUAGGAAGUAUGAAGGUAAGCGUAAGUCUACUAUCCAAACUCUUAACAUACUUCAAAAUUUUAUUUAUAUGUUUUCAGCUCUGUUUUUUUAUUUAAUAUUUUUCUUUUUUGCAUUUUUGAUAUAAUAUUUUGAUGAAAUGCUAAUUUGUUUUUUUUUUUCUUCUGAAAUUGCUUGAUUUUGAACUUCGUCAGAAAUUGUGAAUAUUAGAACCCCAGUUUAAGUCUAUGACCCGAACACAUUAGUAUAUGCGUAUAGUUUUGAAAUUAAACUCUGAUACCUUGCAACUUGCAAGGGUGCAAUGAUGCGCACUUUCUGACAUUAUAGUAUGUUAACUUCUGGAGUCUGGACCGCGUCAGUGGUUUAUUGUGACUUCUGGAAUUCUGGACCAUGUCAACAGUUUAUAGUGACCAGCUUAGAUCAAAUAGGUGACUAAAAGUCAUCAUUUUAAACGUUAUAAAUUGCUGAAAUUUAGUGUUUGGUAUUUUGCAUUGCAUUUAUUGGUUGAACACAGGGGUGGCAAUCUCAGACACGACCCGAAACCCGACUCGAAC